UACGUAGGGGGCAAGCGUUGUCCGGAAUCAUUGGGCGUAAAGAGCGUGUAGGCGGUCCGAUAAGUCGGUUGUGAAAGUCCAGGGCUCAACCCUGGGAUGCCGAUCGAUACUGUCGGACUAGAGUUCGGAAGAGGCGAGUGGAAUUCCCGGUGUAGCGGUGAAAUGCGCAGAUAUCGGGAGGAACACCAAUGGCGAAGGCAGCUCGCUGGGACGUUACGUGACGCUGAGACGCGAAAGCGUGGGGAGCAAACAGG
rnacentral:rRNA from 1 species